AUUGAACGCUGGCGGCAGGCCUAACACAUGCAAGUCGAACGAGUGGCGGACGGGUGUGUAAUGUCUGGGAAACUGCCUGAUGGCGGGGGAUAACUACUGGAAACGGUAGCUAAUACCGCAUACCAUCAGAUGUGCCCAGAUGGGAUGAGCUAGUAGGUGGGGUAACGGCUCACAUGGGCGACGAUCCCUAGCUGGUCUGAGAGGAUGACCAGCAACACGGGAACUGAGACACGGUCCAGACUCCUACGGGAGCAAGCAGUGGGAAAUAUUGCACAAUGAGCGCAAGCCUGAGGCAGCCAUGCCGCGUGUAUGAAGAAGGCCUUCGGGUUUUAAAGUACGUGCAGCGGGGAGGCGUUACCGGCAGAAGAAGCACCGGCUAACUCCGUGCCAGCAGCCGCGGUAAUAC
rnacentral:rRNA from 1 species